UUCCUAUUCUGAUCUCAUGGAGCAAGGCUUCGUAAGACCGUCAAAAGACACUUAUUCCUAUUCUGAUCUCAUGGAGCAAGGUUUCCUAAGACCGCCGAAAGAUACUUAUUCCUAUUCUGAUUUAAUGGAGCAAGGUUUCGUGAGGCAACCGAUGCUGGAUCAUAAUUAUCCGUCGAAAAUGAUCCCAUGGACAGAUCCAAUGGAAUUCAAAGAUCCUCGUUCCGGAGGCACCCGUAACGAAAAUGUCAAUAUCAACACAAACGUCAACCCCCCCCGAAGACGGCCAUCCAGAAGGUCGUCAACUGUUGCGCGCCGACCCAUGUAGCAAUGAACCUGUGGCGCCAUCUGAUUCAAUAAAAACGGAAGACACGACAAACCUACGAAUGAUUCCUACUGAAUAAAUUAUUUCAAAUUGUGACAAAUGCGAAUACCGAUAUGAAUAAAAAUACUGCAUGCA